UACGAAGGGGGCUAGCGUUGCUCGGAAUUACUGGGCGUAAAGCGCACGUAGGCGGCUUCUUAAGUCGGUGGUGAAAUCCUGGAGCUCAACUCCAGAACUGCCUUCGAUACUGGGAAGCUCGAGUCCGGGAGAGGUGAGUGGAACUGCGAGUGUAGAGGUGAAAUUCGUAGAUAUUCGCAAGAACACCGGUGGCGAAGGCGGCGUUCUGGACUGCAACUGACACUGUAAAACGAAAGCCAGGGGAGCAAACGGG
rnacentral:rRNA from 1 species